GAUGAACGCUGGCGGCGUGCCUAAUACAUGCAAGUCGAGCGAACGGACGAGAAGCUUGCUUCUCUGAUGUUAGCGGCGGACGGGUGAGUAACACGUGGAUAACCUACCUAUAAGACUGGGAUAACUUCGGAAAACCGGAGCUAAUACCGGAUAAUAUUUUGAACCGCAUGGUUCAAAAGUGAAAGACGGUCUUUCUGUCACUUAUAGAUGGAUCCGCGCUGCAUUAGCUAGUUGGUAAGGUAACGGCUUACCAAGGCAACGAUGCAUAGCCGACCUGAGAGGGUGGUAGCCCACACGGGAACGGGGACACGGUCAAGACGACUAAGGGACGGCGCAGUAGGGUAUCUUACGCAAUGGGCGGAAGCCUGGCGGAACAACGCCACGCGAGAGGUGGAAGCGCUCCGAUCGGAAAAACCUGUUUUUAGGGAAAAACCUAUGUGGAAGGAAACGUGGACUUAUUGACGGUAACUAAUAAAGAAGCCCCGGCUAACUACGUG
rnacentral:rRNA from 1 species